CUCAUUUCUGCAGCAGCCCAAGCUCAUGGGCCUGCUUUAUAAUUGUGUCACGAAUAUCAAAAGCUUAUUGUUGAAGCACUAGCAAUAAUGGCAGUAACAAUUCAGUUACAAUUCCGGUUAAAACUCCAAGUCCUUGGGAAAUGUUCCAUUAAGUCACUCUUAAUUAGGGGAGAAGACCAGAGGCAAUUUCAGUUUUGACCUAUGGGUGGCAGCAUUGUCUAAGUCUCGAGCUGCUGCGCUAUUUCCCCUCUACUUCCUGGGGCAAGCUCAACCAGGAAGAGACCUCUUCGUUAACGACUCUGUAAACCCCAAACCACAAGCUCAGCUGCCAACAUUUGAGGGACGGGGCUGCUGGAAACCCUGAAAAGAGAGCUGUCACGGUACAUGGGAAGACUGACAGGCCCAGAGUCAAAGAACCAACUAAGAAAUUGUAGGGACCCUGGAAGAGGAUGACAGGAGAUGCUCAAAGAAUCCUCUGAUAUUCUCAGGAUCAGUGGCCUCCAGUACAAAAUACUCCAUUGAUUUUUCUGGGACUCAAGUUCAGGGGCCAAAUGCCAGUGAAGCACAGUGGGUGGUUGCAAGCCCAGGCACACUACUGGAACCACAAUGGCUACGCCCCUGCGAAAGGUGAGUAAAUACUCCUCUUGGAACAAGACAGUAGCUUUCUAGACCAGGUCAUCUGUUUUUAUUUUUAAACGUCCAUUUGUAUCAAAUACACGUGCACACCUUUAUUUAGGAAGGAGGGUCUGUACACCAGUGGUUAUGAAGACAGCUGUCUCCCAUCCCUGCUGCAUGCUUCUCCCUCCUGAGAGACAGACACUUGAAACCCACUGGAAUGACUCUUGUUAUCUCCACAAGGUUCACUUACAUUGCUCCUACGGGACUCUUCAGUUGACCCCACUGAGAGGAGGCAGUUAGCUCUGCCCCGCUCCUGACUCCUCCACGCACGGCCCUUCCUCUUCUCCUCAUUCUGUGAACUUUCCAGAUGUUCCUUUUUUUUUUUUUUUUUUGCCUCCGGAGUACUGUGGUCCUCACUGACUCAGUGACUUGGGCUACCAGCUACCUGUUAGCCCAAAUCUUCCCUCUGAUAAUUCUUCUCCAACUUCAUGUCUAGCCACUCACCAAAUUAUGUAACUAUUUCUCAUCCUUUAAAAUGUAUCCAAUUCGCUCUGUCUCCAUGGCUACUGCUCUCGGUCAGUUUCCCUUCUCUUUCCUGGGGAAGAUGCAGUGCUGCUGGUCGCACCUUCGCCUGCCUGCCUCACACAGCUCCUUUCUACCUUACAGCCAGGGUGAGCUUGAGUGGGUUUCCCUCCUCCUCUUCCUCUUCUUUCUCCUUUUUACGGUGAGGAGGAUUAAACCCAGGACAAGUACGCCAGGCAAAUGCUCCAGUUCCAGAAUGAGCUCUCUAAAGCAAAAAUUAGGUAUCAUUUUGCGAAUAAAAUUGUGGAGUGUGUUUCAGGAGGAAAUUAAAAUUCCUUAUCUUGGUGAGGUAAAGAGAGUUUUUUUUUUUAAUUACCAUAGCAUUUUGUCUCCCACAAAUACUUUUUUUUACAGUAGGGUUAGGGUAGCUGUGUAAAAAAGUGAGUGGACGUUACAUGUGCCGUUAACUGCUUAGCCUGAGACGCACGUAUUACAUUUGUUUUCUUUUUCUGAGGCUCACAUUCUAGGUUCUGUAGCGAGAAGAUGCGGGAGAGGCUGCCCCACCCACAUGACUAUAUACAAGAGUACCAGAACCCCAGUGCACUGUGGUCUUUUCAGAGCCCAUUAGAUCAGAUGCUACGUCUGCUCCGUGCCAUCAUCUUCAUGGAGACUACUGUGAAAAAGGGAGCUCCAUUUCUUCUGUCAAGACUUUCAUAGUAGUUUACAUUUCUGAGAUAGUAUUGAUUAAAAGUUUGAUGAUGGGGUGAACAUGGUAUGAAAUUCUCUAAAGAUUAAUAAAAAUACUGAAAAA